UACGGAGGGGGCUAGCGUUGUUCGGAAUUACUGGGCGUAAAGCGCACGUAGGCGGCUUUGUAAGUUAGAGGUGAAAGCCCGGGGCUCAACUCCGGAAUUGCCUUUAAGACUGCAUCGCUAGAAUUGUGGAGAGGUAAGUGGAAUUCCGAGUGUAGAGGUGAAAUUCGUAGAUAUUCGGAAGAACACCGGUGGCGAAGGCGGCUCACUGGCCCGAUACUGACGCUGAGGCACGAAAGCGUGGGGAGCAAACAGG
rnacentral:rRNA from 1 species